rnacentral:rRNA from 1 species
CCUCAGCCAUGCUAAUCAGCUGAGGGUUAGUCGGGGCCUAACGCGAACCCGAAAGGGGUAGUGGAUGGACAACGGGUUAAUAUUCCCGUACCUGUAUAAUAAUAAAGUGACGGAGUUGGAAAUUAGGUGCGUACUGACGGAAUAGUACGUUGAAGUAACUGCGAGGUUACGAUAGUACAGCAAGUCUUCGGAUGCGCUGAUAAUCCUAAGGACCCGCUUCCAAGAAAAGCGAUUUAUACAGCCCGUACCAAAACCGACACAGGUAGUCGAGGAGAGAAUCCUAAGGUGCUCGAGUGAGUCGUGGCUAAGGAACUAGGCAAAAUAGUCUCGUAACUUCGGAAGAAGAGACGCCAGCAGUAAUGCUGGCCGCAGUGAAGAGGCCCAGGCGACUGUUUAUCAAAAACACAGGUCCGUGCGAAGUCGUAAGACGAUGUAUACGGACUGACUCCUGCCCGGUGCUGGAAGGUUAAGAGGAGUGCUUAGGAGUAAUCCGAAGGUAUGAAUUGAAGCCCCAGUAAACGGCGGCCGUAACAAUAACGGUCCUAAGGUAGCGAAAUUCCUUGUCGGGUAAGUUCCGACCUGCACGAAUGGCGUAACGACUUCUCUACUGUCUCAACCAUGAACUCGGCGAAAUUGCAUUACGAGUAAAGAUGCUCGUUACGCGCAGAAGGACGGAAAGACCCCGGGACCUUUACUAUAGCUUGGUAUUGGUGCGCGUUAUAGCUUGUGUAGGAUAGGUGGGAGACUGUGAAGCAUGGACGCUAGUUUGUGUGGAGUCGUUGUUGAAAUACCACUCUGGUUAUAGCGUGUGCCUGAACCUUGGCCCGUGAUCCGGGUUAGGGACAGUGCCUGGUGGGUAGUUUAACUGGGGCGGUUGCCUCCUAAAAUGUAACGGAGGCGCUCAAAGGUUCCCUCAGCCUGGUUGGCAAUCAGGUGUUGAGUGUAAGUGCACAAGGGAGCUUGACUGCGAGACUGACAGGUCGAGCAGGUACGAAAGUAGGAACUAGUGAUCCGGCGAUCCCGUGUGGGUGGGUCGUCGCUCAACGGAUAAAAGGUACCCCGGGGAUAACAGGCUGAUCCUGCCCAAGAGUCCAUAUCGACGGCAUGGUUUGGCACCUCGAUGUCGGCUCGUCGCAUCCUGGGGCUGGAGUCGGUCCCAAGGGUUGGGCUGUUCGCCCAUUAAAGCGGUACGCGAGCUGGGUUUAGAACGUCGUGAGACAGUUCGGUCCCUAUCCGUCGCGGGCGUAGGAAAUUUGAGAGGAUCUGCUCCUAGUACGAGAGGACCAGAGUGGACUUACCGCUGGUGUACCAGUUGUCUUGCCAAAGGCAUCGCUGGGUAGCUAUGUAGGGAAGGGAUAAACGCUGAAAGCAUCUAAGUGUGAAACCCACCUCAAGAUGAGAUUUCCCAUGAUUUUAUAUCAGUAAGAGCCCUGAGAGAUGAUCAGGUAGAUAGGUUAGAAGUGGAAGUGUGGCGACACAUGUAGCGGACUAAUACUAAUAGCUCGAGG